rnacentral:lncRNA from 1 species
UCCGGUGUCACUUUGUCUCUUUUAGAGAGUUGUCUCAUUGGCAAUCAUGCUAUAUCUUCUUUUUUUUAUAUAAUAAAACAAAAACCUGAACGACUUUACAUUAUAAAUUAAAAUGCAUCCUAGUCGUGAUGGAGACAGAGUCAAAUGAACAAAUGGACUAGAUGAAACUGAACGAAAAAAAGAAAGAAAACACCAAUUUGAUCUGAUAGGGGUGAAUUCUAUUCUUUAUUAAUUCAAACUCGAGUUUGGUUUGGAACCGUAUCUAUUGCGAUUAUUACCCAAGGACAGAUAUUACAUAUCUGAACUUCGAUGCUCGAAUUUGAAGUUACCUAUUGAGACGGGUAGAUGGGCGGGGAUCGCGAGGGAAAAUAGAAUAUGUACAUUAUGUAAUGAGGGAAUAGGGGAUGAGUUUCAUAUAUUGUUUACCUGUAAAAAUGCUGAUGUUUCUGCUCUUAGAUCAAAGUUUGUACCAAAUUACUAUGUAAUGAAUCCAAGC